GUCCUGAAACUCAAUGGUGGCGCUCUGGGGCCAAGCCGCAGGCAAAGAGCUGCCCUCUGUACUCCAGCUGGCCUGUACGAAACAGUAGGAAAGGUUGAGUCAAGAACAAGAAAAGUCCCUGUGGUGUUCUGCUGAAUUCCAGGACCGUACGAUCCAGCUGAGGAUUCCCGUCACCUGCAAUACACAGUACAGUGAGGUUUACUUCACUUGCAGGAUCCAGUUACUGACUAAGCAAACCGGGGGAGUUUUCAUGUUUUCAAAGUACUUCAUAAAUAAAGAUGGAAUGGAUUGCAUACCCAAUGAGCUGCUCCUGCGACAGGUCUCUGGAGAAAGGCAUGAAGUCAACCAUGCUGAGUCGGGCGUUGGAUCUUCUGGAGCCAGCUGCAAAAAAAAUAACUUGUGAUUAAUGAAUCUUUAUCAUUUCCAUGUUUACUUAGAAAAAAUAAACCUAAACAAAAAUUCAA